CGCUUCGGCAGCACAUAUACUAAAAUUGGAACGAUACAGAGAAAUCGGAAGAGCACAGUGCUGA